rnacentral:rRNA from 1 species
CCUACGGGAGGCAGCAGUAGGGAAUAUUGCUCAAUGGGGGAAACCCUGAAGCAGCAACGCCGCGUGGAGGAUGAAGGUUUUAGGAUUGUAAACUCCUUUUGUUAGAGAAGAUUAUGACGGUAUCUAACGAAUAAGCACCGGCUAACUCCGUGUUAGCAGCCGCGGUAAUACGGAGGGUGCAAGCGUUACUCGGAAUCACUGGGCGUAAAGAGUGCGUAGGCGGGGUAAUAAGUCAGAUGUGAAAUCCUGUAGCUUAACUACAGAACUGCAUUUGAAACUGUUACUCUGGAGUGUGGGAGAGGUAGGUGGAAUUCUAGGUGUAGGGGUAAAAUGCGUAGAGAUCAAGAGGAAUACUCAUGGCGAAGGCGACCUGCUGGAACAUUACUGACGCUGAUGCACGAAAGCGUGGGGAGCAAACAGGAUUAGAUACCCCAGUAGUC